rnacentral:rRNA from 1 species
CCUACGGGAGGCAGCAGUGAGGAAUAUUGGUCAAUGGACGAGAGUCUGAACCAGCCAAGUAGCGUGAAGGAUGACUGCCCUAUGGGUUGUAAACUUCUUUUAUAAAGGAAUAAAACGAGGCACGUGUGCCUUUUUGCAUGUACUUUAUGAAUAAGGAUCGGCUAACUCCGUGCCAGCAGCCGCGGUAAUACGGAGGAUCCGAGCGUUAUCCGGAUUUAUUGGGUGUAAAGGGAGCGUAGAUGGGUUGUUAAGUCAGUUGUGAAAGUUUGCGGCUCAACCGUAAAAGUGCAAUUGAUACUGGCAGUCGUGAGUACAGUUGAGGUAAGCGGAAUUCGUGGUGUAGCGGUGAAAUGCUUAGAUAUCACGAAGAACCCCGAUUGCGAAGGCAGCUUACUAAACUGUGACUGACAUUGAUGCUCGAAAGUGUGGGUAUCAAACAGGAUUAGAUACCCGGGUAGUC